rnacentral:rRNA from 2 species
UGGAUCCAGACUUUGAUCAUGGCUCAGGAUGAACGCUAGCUACAGGCUUAACACAUGCAAGUCGAGGGGAAACGACAUCGAAAGCUUGCUUUUGAUGGGCGUCGACCGGCGCACGGGUGAGUAACGCGUAUCCAACCUGCCCAUCACUUGGGGAUAACCUUGCGAAAGUAAGACUAAUACCCAAUGACAUCCCACGAAGGCAUCUGAAUGGGAUUAAAGAUUUAUCGGUGAUGGAUGGGGAUGCGUCUGAUUAGCUUGUUGGCGGGGUAACGGCCCACCAAGGCAACGAUCAGUAGGGGUUCUGAGAGGAAGGUCCCCCACAUUGGAACUGAGACACGGUCCAAACUCCUACGGGAGGCAGCAGUGAGGAAUAUUGGUCAAUGGGCGAGAGCCUGAACCAGCCAAGUAGCGUGCAGGAUGACGGCCCUAUGGGUUGUAAACUGCUUUUAUAAGGGAAUAAAGUGAGUCUCGUGAGACUUUUUGCAUGUACCUUAUGAAUAAGGACCGGCUAAUUCCGUGCCAGCAGCCGCGGUAAUACGGAAGGUCCGGGCGUUAUCCGGAUUUAUUGGGUUUAAAGGGAGCGUAGGCCGGAGAUUAAGCGUGUUGUGAAAUGUAGUGGCUCAACCUCUGCACUGCAGCGCGAACUGGUCUUCUUGAGUACGCACAACGUGGGCGGAAUUCGUGGUGUAGCGGUGAAAUGCUUAGAUAUCACGAAGAACUCCGAUUGCGAAGGCAGCUCACGGGAGCGCAACUGACGCUGAAGCUCGAAAGUGCGGGUAUCGAACAGGAUUAGAUACCCUGGUAGUCCGCACGGUAAACGAUGGAUGCCCGCUGUUGGCCUGAAUAGGUCAGCGGCCAAGCGAAAGCAUUAAGCAUCCCACCUGGGGAGUACGCCGGCAACGGUGCAACUCAAAGGAAUUGACGGA